rnacentral:rRNA from 1 species
CCUACGGGAGGCAGCAGUGGGGAAUAUUGGACAAUGGGGGAAACCCUGAUCCAGCAAUGCCGCGUGAGUGAUGAAGGCCUUAGGGUCGUAAAGCUCUUUUACCAGGGAUGAUAAUGACAGUACCUGGAGAAUAAGCUCCGGCUAACUCCGUGCCAGCAGCCGCGGUAAUACGGAGGGAGCUAGCGUUGUUCGGAAUUACUGGGCGUAAAGCGUGCGUAGGCGGUUAUUCAAGUCAGAGGUGAAAGCCCGGGGCUCAACCCCGGAACGGCCUUUGAAACUAGAUAACUAGAAUCUUGGAGAGGUCAGUGGAAUUCCGAGUGUAGAGGUGAAAUUCGUAGAUAUUCGGAAGAACACCAGUGGCGAAGGCGACUGACUGGACAAGUAUUGACGCUGAGGUACGAAAGCGUGGGGAGCAAACAGGAUUAGAUACCCUGGUAGUCCACGCCGUAAACGAUGAUAACUAGCUGUCCGGACACUUGGUGUUUGGGUGGCGCAGCUAACGCAUUAAGUUAUCCGCCUGGGGAUACGGUCGCAAGNUUAAAACUCAAAGGAAUUGACGGCUGAGAAGUGCGAGCGACACGAGGAGNG